UAUCAUUCAGCACGAUUUGCGGGAAAGCAGUCAUCCAUAUUGGUCGAAGCAGUUGUUCUUCACUUUUAUUCUGUUUUCUAUAAAGUCACAGCACUGGGCAUCAUCUGCAGUCAAGACUGGGGUCAUAAGCUGUCAUAGGAGGCCAAUCCACAAUUGGGCUUUGACAACUUUGCGACGCCUUUGUGAUUUCUCUGAGACGCUUUAAAUAAGCUGUUUAUCAUAGUUAUUUCCAGAGAUUGUAUUACAAUUAUGUAAUCAUUAAAAGUUAUAGUGUUGAGGGAAAACUAAAUUAAAUGGACAUGUAAUGAACCCAGCUUGUGUGUUGUCUGUUUAUAUUCAUUUUUAUAAUAUAAGGAACACAAUUACAAGCCACAAAUGGCGCCCAACGUGGUUAUAUUUUAGAUUUCUCUCAUUUAAGAACUGAACAUUAAUUUAAAAAAAUAAAAUAAAUGAGUAUUGAUGAUUGUUAAAGAUUGUGGAAAAUCUUUGGUUGUAUGGAGGACGUACAGCUUAUUCGGUAGCCAGUGGUCGGAGCAGUUGGCGUGUGCAGUGGAGCAAUCCAGGUGGCAUUCUGAGCGAUCCUUGGGAGCAACGCGCGAUUAUUUGUUGGGAGCGACGAGCGAUCUUUAGGAGCGAGUAGAACAUCAGUGCCUGCAAAGUGACUGGAGCGUGUGACAUUGACAUUACCGUGUGAUUGAGAAAAACACAUUUGUAUUUUCACAGCACUGGGCAUCAUCUGCAGUCAAGACUGGGGUCAUAAGCUGUCAUAGGAGGCCAAUCCACAAUUGGGCUUUGACAACUUUGCGACGCCUUUGUGAUUUCUCUGAGACGCUUUAAAUAAGCUGUUUAUCAUAGUUAUUUCCAGAGAUUGUAUUACAAUUAUGUAAUCAUUAAAAGUUAUAGUGUUGAGGGAAAACUAAAUUAAAUGGACAUGUAAUGAACCCA